UAUCUGAUACGGGUAAAAGACUACACCCGAGGACCGAGAAUAGGAGUAUAUCUACUCCUAGUACAGCUUAGAAUAGGCAGUAGACUGUCAAUUGCAUCGAGAAGUAAAUUUCAGAGUUGCAUCCUAGAAAGCAAG